CAAUAGCGUAUAUUAAAGUUGUUGCGGUAAAAAAGCUCGUAGUUGGAUUUCUGUUGAGGACGACCGGUCCAUACCACGUAUGCGCAUCUGGCUCGGCCUCGGCAUCCUCUCGCGAAACGUUUCUGCGCUUGAUUGCGUGGAGCGGGUCUCGGGACUUUUACUUUGAGGAAAUUAGAGUGUUCACGGCAGGCUAUCGCCCGAAUACAUUAGCAUGGAAUAAUACUAUAGGAUUUCGCACCUAUUUUGUUGGUUUCUAGGCGUGAAAUAAUGAUUAAUAGGGACAAUUGGGGGCAUUCGUAUCAACACGUCAGAGGUGGAAUUCUUGGAUUGUGUUGCGACGAACUACUGCGAAAGCAUUUGCCAAGGAUGUUUUCAUUGAUCAAGAACGAAAGUAAGGGGAUCGAAGAUGAUCAGAUACCAU
rnacentral:rRNA from 1 species